GUGCAUGGGCCCGUAAUGCUCUUUCAAAGCCUACUUCCUUCUCAAUUAUCAUCACCUAUUCUCGUCAUUAGCAAAAGGCCGCGGCCAACGACACCAAACCGAAGUCUAGUUGACCACGAUGUUUUGGAAUGCUAGCUUUUCGACGUUGUUUUGGAAUGGCUGCGUGCUAAUCCCUCAAAUAAGAGGAUCCGAUUGAUUUGUAAGUUCCUUUUUCAGGCUGUAGUCUAUGUCAUCUGGAGGGAGAGGAACACGAGACUCCAUAACUCUACCUCAAGAUCUAUUUCUACUCUAUUAAAAGAAGUUCAUCUACUGAUCAGAGCAAAGCUGUUUGGUUUGGAUCGGAAUGCAUCUCCCCCACAGCUGCGGAGUGCAUCAGUAUCACCACCAACUACCUACCUCCAACUCUGGUUUGGACAUUUUCAGGUGUAAAAUGAAGUUUUUUGCAUGUACCUAUGACCUAUGAUCGUUUCUUCCACAGCCCGCUUUCGUUAGGAGUUAUUAUUUAUUUAGAAUUAUGUUGCUUUUGGAGGUUCUAGCCUUCCUUUUUUCUCAUCUUUUGGAUUGUAAGAGUUUGAAACGAUGUCUCAUUUGGAGAGAAGGAAAAGAUGAAUAAAGGUAAAAAAAAAAGAAAAAGAAGUCUAGUUGAC
rnacentral:lncRNA from 1 species